rnacentral:rRNA from 1 species
UACGUAGGGUGCAAGCGUUGUCCGGAAUUAUUGGGCGUAAAGAGCUCGUAGGCGGUUCGUCGCGUCGGCUGUGAAAACCCGGAGCUCAACUCCGGGCCUGCAGUCGAUACGGGCGGACUUGAGUGUUGCAGGGGAGACUGGAAUUCCUGGUGUAGCGGUGAAAUGCGCAGAUAUCAGGAGGAACACCGGUGGCGAAGGCGGGUCUCUGGGCCGAUACUGACGCUGAGGAGCGAAGGCGUGGGGAGCGAACAGG